rnacentral:rRNA from 1 species
AUUGAACGCUGGCGGCAUGCCUUACACAUGCAAGUCGAACGGCAGCGGACCUUCGGGUGCCGGCGAGUGGCGAACGGGUGAGUAAUAUAUCGGAACGUACCUUUCAGUGGGGGAUAACGUAGCGAAAGUUACGCUAAUACCGCAUAUUCUGUGAGCAGGAAAGCAGGGGAUCGCAAGACCUUGCGCUGAUUGAGCGGCCGAUAUCAGAUUAGCUAGUUGGUGAGGUAAAGGCUCACCAAGGCGACGAUCUGUAGCGGGUCUGAGAGGAUGAUCCGCCACACUGGAACUGAGACACGGUCCAGACUCUUACGGGAGGCAGCAGUGGGGAAUUUUGGACAAUGGGCGCAAGCCUGAUCCAGCCAUGCCGCGUGAGUGAAGAAGGCC